rnacentral:rRNA from 1 species
UGUGUAGGCGGUUCUUUAAGUUUGGUGUGAAAUCUCCCGGCUCAACCGGGAGGGUGCGCCGAAUACUGAGGGACUAGAGUGUGGGAGAGGAAAGUGGAAUUCCUGGUGUAGCGGUGAAAUGCGUAGAUAUCAGGAGGAACACCGGUGGUGUAGACGGCUUUCUGGACCAUAACUGACGCUGAGACACGAAAGCGUGGGUAGCAAACAGGAUUAGAUACCCUGGUAGUCCACGCCCUAAACGAUGCAUAUUUGGUGUGGGUCAUUCAGUUUGAUCCGUGCCGGAGCUAACGCGUUAAAUAUGCCGCCUGGGGAGUACAGUCGCAAGGCUGAA